GUAGUGCUUGCACUACCUGAGAGUGGCGAACGGGUGAGUAACGCGUAGAUGAUCUACCUUUUGGUUGGGGAUAGCUCAUGGAAACAUGGGGUAAUACCGAAUAAGAUCCUAUUGCUUUGGCGAUUGGAUGAAAGGGGCUUCGGCCUCGCCGGGAGAUGAGUCUGCGUAUGAUUAGCUAGUUGGUGUGGUAAAGGCGCACCAAGGCGACGAUCAUUAGCCGGCCUGAGAGGGUGACCGGCCACAUUGGGACUGAGACACGGCCCAGACUCCUACGGGAGGCAGCAGCUAAGAAUCUUCCGCAAUGGGCGAAAGCCUGACGGAGCGACGCCGCGUGGGUGAAGAAGGCGGAGACGUUGUAAAGCCCUUUUCUCACAGAAGAAUAAGUUUCAGAGGUAAUGCUGGAGCGAUGACGUUAUGUGAGGAAUAAGCACCGGCCAAUUACGUGCCAGCAGCCGCGGUAACACGUAAGGUGCGAGCGUUGUUCGGAAUUAUUGGGCGUAAAGGGCUCGUAGGCGGCCUACCAAGUCUCACGUGAAAGACCAGGGCUCAACCCUGGGAACGCGAGAGAAACUGGUAAGCUGGAAUCUUGGAGGGGGUACUGGAAUUCCUGGUGUAGGGGUGAAAUCUGUUGAUAUCAGGAAGAACACCGGAGGCGAAGGCGAGUACCUGGCCAAAGAUUGACGCUGAUGAGCGAAAGCGUAGGGAGCGAACAGGAUUAGAUACCCUGGUAGUCUACGCCGUAAACGAUGUGCACUUGGUGGUGGUCCCGUCCGGGAUCGCUGCCGGAGCUAACGCAUUAAGUGCACCGCCUGGGGAGUACGCCGGCAACGGUUAAACUCAAAGGAGUUGACGGGGGCCCGCACAAGCGGUGGAGCAUGUGGUUUAAUUUCGUGAUACGCGAGAAACCUUACCAGGGCUUGACAUAUACUUGACGUUUGCAGAGAUGCAGAUUUCCUUUCGGGGACGGUAU
rnacentral:rRNA from 1 species